AUAAUGAUACUUCCGUCUUUUCUCUGAAAGGGCGGCUCGGAGCGAAUCCUCGGAGGGGUGAGAGUCCCAUGA
rnacentral:ncRNA from 1 species